CAGCAGCCGCGGGAAUACGUAGGUCCCGAGCGUUGUCCGGAUUUAUUGGGCGUAAAGCGAGCGCAGGCGGUUAGAUAAGUCUGAAGUUAAAGGCUGUGGCUUAACCACAGUACGCUUUGGAAACUGUUUAACUUGAGUGCAAGAGGGGAGAGUGGAAUUCCAUGUGUAGCGGUGAAAUGCGUAGAUAUAUGGAGGAACACCGGUGGCGAAAGCGGCUCUCUGGCUUGUAACUGACGCUGAGGCUCGAAAGCGUGGGGAGCAAACAGGAUUAGAUACCCCCGUAGUCCCUGUCUCUUAUACA
rnacentral:rRNA from 1 species